GACGGGGGAUGCAAGCGUUAUCCGGAAUCACUGGGCGUAAAGCGUCUGUAGGUGGUGAUGCAAGUCACUGGUGCAAAACUCUGGCUCAACCGGAGGAAAGCCAGUGACACUGCAUGACUAGAGUGUGGGAGAGGUAGAAGGAAUUCCCUGAGUAGCGGUGAAAUGCGUAGAUACAGGGAAGAACACCGGAGGCGAAAGCGUUCUACUGGAACACAACUGACACUGAGAGACCAAAGCCAGGGGAGCGAAUGGG
rnacentral:rRNA from 1 species